AGCUUCUUAGCGCAGUGGAAGCGCGCGGGGCUCAUACCACCCCGAGGUCCUCGGAUCGAGACCGAGAGAAGCUA
rnacentral:tRNA from 1 species